rnacentral:rRNA from 1 species
GACGAACGCUGGCGGCGUGCUUAACACAUGCAAGUCGAACGGAAAGGCCCUGCUUUUGUGGGGUGCUCGAGUGGCGAACGGGUGAGUAACACGUGAGUAACCUGCCCUUGACUUUGGGAUAACUUCAGGAAACUGGGGCUAAUACCGGAUAGGAGCUCCUGCUGCAUGGUGGGGGUUGGAAAGUUUCGGCGGUUGGGGAUGGGCUCGCGGCUUAUCAGCUUGUUGGUGGGGUAGUGGCUUACCAAGGCUUUGACGGGUAGCCGGCCUGAGAGGGUGACCGGCCACAUUGGGACUGAGAUACGGCCCAGACUCCUACGGGAGGCAGCAGUGGGGAAUAUUGCACAAUGGGCGGAAGCCUGAUGCAGCAACGCCGCGUGCGGGAUGACGGCCUUCGGGUUGUAAACCGCUUUCGCCUGUGACGAAGCGUGAGUGACGGUAAUGGGUAAAGAAGCACCGGCUAACUACGUGCCAGCAGCCGCGGUGAUACGUAGGGUGCGAGCGUUGUCCGGAUUUAUUGGGCGUAAAGGGCUCGUAGGUGGUUGAUCGCGUCGGAAGUGUAAUCUUGGGGCUUAACCCUGAGCGUGCUUUCGAUACGGGUUGACUUGAGGAAGGUAGGGGAGAAUGGAAUUCCUGGUGGAGCGGUGGAAUGCGCAGAUAUCAGGAGGAACACCAGUGGCGAAGGCGGUUCUCUGGGCCUUUCCUGACGCUGAGGAGCGAAAGCGUGGGGAGCGAACAGGCUUAGAUACCCUGGUAGUCCACGCUGUAAACGGUGGGUACUAGGUGUGGGGUCCAUUCCACGGGUUCCGUGCCGUAGCUGACGCUUUAAGUACCCCGCCUGGGGAGUACGGCCGCAAGGCUAAAACUCAAAGGAAUUGACGGGGCCCCGCACAAGCGGCGGAGCAUGCGGAUUAAUUCGAUGCAACGCGUAGAACCUUACCUGGGUUUGACAUGGAUCGGGAGUGCUCAGAGAUGGGUGUGCCUCUUUUGGGGUCGGUUCACAGGUGGUGCAUGGCUGUCGUCAGCUCGUGUCGUGAGAUGUUGGGUUAAGUCCCGCAACGAGCGCAGCCCUUGUUCACUGUUGCCAGCACGUUAUGGUGGGGACUCAGUGGAGACCGCCGGGGUCAACUCGGAGGAAGGUGGGGAUGACGUCAAGUCAUCAUGCCCCUUAUGUCCAGGGCUUCACGCAUGCUACAAUGGCUGGUACAGAGAGUGGCGAGCCUGUGAGGGUGAGCGAAUCCCGGAAAGCCGGUCUCAGUUCGGAUUGGGGUCUGCAACUCGACCUCAUGAAGUCGGAGUCGCUAGUAAUCGCAGAUCAGCAACGCUGCGGUGAAAACGUUCCCGGG